rnacentral:lncRNA from 1 species
UAUAGUUGAUUUACAAUGUUGUGCUAAUUUCUACUGUACAGCAAAUUGACAUAUAUAUAUAUAUUCAUUUUUUAAAAUAUUAUUUUCCAUCAUGUUCUAUCCUAGGCAGUUCAAACCUUGCUGUUUAUCCAUUCUAAAUAUAAUAAUUUGCAUCUACUAACCCCAAACUUCUAGUCCAUGUCACUCCCUCCCUCCUUCCCCUUGGCAGCCACAAGUCUAUUCUCUAUUCUCUGUUUUAUAGACAGGUUCAUUUGUGCCGUAUUUUAGAUUCCACAUAUAAACAAUAUCAUUAGCAUUUUUCCUUUUCUUUCUGACUUACUUCACUUAGUAUGAUAAUCUCUAGUUGCAUCCAUGUUGCUGUGAAUGGCAUUAUUUUUUUUCCUUUUUAUGGCUGAGUAGUCAUGGCUAUUUUUAUUACUUUAAAAAAUUUUUAACUGGAGUUGUAAGUGAAUUAUGCACUGCUAUUACCAUUUUGCAGAAUCUAACUGUGACUAUAUAUUUACCAUUACCAGUGAGUUUUACACUACUUUUUUUAAUGUUUUUAUAAUAUUAGUUAUCAUUAUUUUAGUUCUACUCAAAGAACUCUUUAACAUUUCCCAUAAGGCGGGUCUGGUGGUAAUGAACUUCUCAGCUUUUGUCUGUUUCGGAAAGUCUGUAUCCCUCCUUUGUUCCUGAAGCAACUUUUUGUUUGUUUGUUUUUUGUUUUUUUGCCUUUUCUGGGUCCACUCCCUUGGCACAUGGAGGUUCCCAGGCUAGGGGACUAAUCGGAGCUUAGCCACUGGCCUAUGCCAGAGCCACAGCAACGCGGGAUCCGAGCUGUGUCUGCAACCUACACCACAGCUCACGGCAACGCUGGAUCCUUAACCCACUGAGCAAGGCCAGGGAUCGAACCCGCAACCUCAUGGUUCCUAGUUGGAUUCAUUAACCACUGUGCCACAACAGGAACUCCUUUACCUGAUUUUCAUAAUCCUUGAUUCUUUAUGUUGGCAUUUGCACAUUUGAGAAAUAGGGUUUCUCUUCCAGAUUUUACAGGUUUUCUUUGGGGGAAACAGUUGUUCACCAGUCAGUUUAGUUGGGUUUCUGGGUGUGUCUGCUGGUAAUGUCCUUCAGCAGGUGGGGCCUGGAAUUAUGGUUUAUUUUAGGGCAAGGCAACUGUUUAAGCUGUGAGGACAUGGGUGGAGAGCAUGUCCCACUGGCUGAGAACAGUUGGAUAGGACUGCUGGCAUUGUUCCCUACCCACAUGAGGCUCUAGGAUGGGGUCCAUGGUUGCCUCCCCAUGGUUCUCUGAUCGGGACUGGGUGCUAUAUUCAGUAGUAGAUCGGACUAUGAAUUAGCAUCCCUGCCCUGGCAGGGCAGUGAGACAGGACCCCUGCUUGUACAUUUGCUAUUUGGGGACCUGAAUCAGGACAGACUAUGCGCUGGAUUCCCUGGCCAAGUGGGGCCACCAGUUUUACUCUGCAAAAGGGAAAAGCCAGAGGCUGUGCUCUCUGUUCACGUACCACUGUUGAAUGGGCACAUUUCCCAUAUAUUCUGGUUAGGUUCCUGGUCAGACAGGCUGACAGCUGUGUUCUGCGAUGAGCAGAACUACAAAUUAGAUUUCCUGCCCAGGCACAGUGGGAGAAACAGUUCUAAAGCUGGUAAAAUUCUAUGUUUGUUCUCUUAACUCAAGCUGAUCCGCACCCCAAGUUCCUUGACUGAAUAAGGCCACUGGCUAUGUUCUGCAAACUGUCAAGUCUGCCCAUCAGCCUCUCUGUUUAAGUAGGGCUGUGCUAGUUUCCAGGAGUUUCGUAUAGCCCUUCUGGUCAGAUAAGGCUGAAAGGCACUCUCCACAGUGGGUGGAGUUAUGUAAUAGCUUCCUUCCCUUGACAAGAGGGAGAGAGACUGCUCUAGGUAAUUUUCAACUUCCCUCUCUUCGGGGAAGGGCUGGGAGGUACCAGCAUCCUUGGCUGUCAGUUAAUUCUCUUGCUUGUGUGUAGCAUGGAACAUUCCAUGUUCCCUACUGGCUUUGCUCUGGGAGCAAUAACCUCUGCCUGCCCACCUCUUGGCUUGAGCACUGCUGGGCCACUUUGCUUUCAAGAGUUGUUGCCAGCCAUUCUGGUCAGAUGGGGCCAGAAGACACUCCUCUACAGCAGUGGGGCCAGGGGUAGGACUGUGAUUCAGCUGCUUACCUGGGCAUACCAGGGUCUAGGGCCAGCAAAACUCCUUGUUUGAAGACUAUAUCAGACAGAUCUGCACUACGCCGAGUUCCCUAGUGAGAGGGUGCCACCCAUGUCAGUUCUGCAGAUGAUCAAAGCUCUAGUUGGGAUUACUAUCUGGGCACUGCACAGUAUAAACUCAAUCUACCCAGAUCCAUUUGCUGGUUGUUGCAAGCCCCUCCCCUCUUCUCUUCACAGUCAGAUGUCCUGUAGUUCUAGGGAAUGAGAGAACAGGGGUUCCCACAGAGCAACCCACAAUGCUGGGGGAUCAUGGUUGCUCUCUCUGGAUUUCUCUUUUCCCAAUGAGAAAACCAGAGGCUCAGGGGAGACCUUUGUUCAUGGUGCUGGUGCUGGUCUGGAGGAGGAGGUGUGCAGUGCAGCUAAGAUGUAGCUGUUUCUCCUACCUUCUAAUGACAUCUACUGUGUUGCAGGAGGUGCUUUAGCCUUACCCCUGUGUUCUGGGAUUCUCUCAGUUGUGUCUUGUUUUGGAAAAGUUGUUAGUUGUUCCUCUCAUGAUAGAGAGCAAGUCACAAACAACCUGUGUCACCAUCUUGGUGACCAUAUUUCACAGUAUCUAAACAUUAACAAUGAAAGUUAGAGGAGUUCUUAUUGUGGUACAGUGGAAAGGAACCUGACUAGCAUCCAGAAGGACCUGGGUUCGAUCCCUGGCCUCGCUCAGUGGGUUAAGGAUCUGGCAUUGUGGUGAGCUGUGGUGAGGCUCGGAUCUGGCAUUGCUGUGGCUGUGGCAUAGGCCGACAGCUGCAGCUCCAGUUGGACCCCUAGCCUGGGGAUUUCCAUAUGCUGCAGGUGUGUCCCUAAAAAGAAAAAAAAAGAAAGAAAGAAAGAAAAAAGUUAGAGUCCUGUCAAUAUUCAAAUACCUCCCUUGUGUCCAAGGCUUGGCUUUGUUCUGAAUCCUAUCCCUUCUCACAUUCCCAUAAUCCUUUCAGAAUACUUAAUUCCCUGUCUUUCAGACUUUCAGCUUCCCUCUAUCCUUUCCAUCAGCAUUUAAAUGUACACUAAGCUCCCUCCCAUCUUAAAAACAACAGACAAUAACCUAUUGCUCUAACCUCAUCCCCUCCUACUGACCUCUCUCCUCACUUUCACAGCUAAACACCCAAAAGGAAUUAUCUGACCUCAUCACCUCCCUUUCUUUACCCCCUACUACUCCUCUAUUCUCUCCAGUUGGGCUUCUGCCUUCAUUACUUACUCCAUCAAAACAAGUAUCCUACUAGCCCUCAUGAUUCAGUGUAGCUAGCUCAAUGGACCUUUCAUCUGCCCAUCUUGGAUCAUUUGACAUUAUUGAUCCACCGUCACCUCUCUGAAACAAUUGCUCUCUCUCUCUGGCACGAUCUCCUAGAUUUCCUCCUGCUUAUCAGGUUGCCCUUUCUCAUUUUCCUUUGCUGAUCUAUUCUCCUCUAGCUAUUAAAUCUUAUAGUUCUGGGUUCUAGCUUUUCUUUUAUUUUCACUUUAUAUUCUGUCUCCAGCUGAGUCCAGCUGGAAUUGGUUUCAGUUACUAUUUAUUUGCUGUAGUCUUUCAAACAUGCAUAUCCACAUGUCUCCUUGGAACUCUUAGAUGUAUGUGUAUUUGUAUAUAUGCAUACACACAUUUUUCUGCCCAACAACAUCAUCUGGGCAUCUCAAAAAUUGGUCAAACAACCUUUCCAAAAUUAUGAUCUUCCACUAUGAAUAUGGUCCUGAUCAGGUGUUUCGCAUCUCUGGGAAAAACAUCAGAAAUAUAGAUGGUGGGCUUGAUACAUUCCUACCUGCUGAAUCCCCUUUGUGAGUGUUCUUCCACAUUUAAGAAAAGUCAUUCUAAGGCCCUGCAUGAUCCAGCCUCUCCCUACUUUUUCAAGCAUCUUGAAUCUCUUGCUCCCAACUGUGUAUCCGUGGGCACACUGGAAAACCUUUAAGUUCCUCAAAUUUAUCCUUUGCCCAGCAGGGUCCUUGUUUGUGUUAGUACAGCUCUUUGGAGCAUUUUUCCUUCCUCUUUAUCUAAUUCAUCCCUCUCCUGUUUUUUGCUCAAAUGUUAUUUCAUCAAGUGAGUCUUUCAUGAUCCUCUAGGCUUUAUCACAUAGUUUCCUAUUGUAUUAUUUAUCUAAUGCUGGGUACAGAUCUCUCUAAAACAAUGUAUUAAAACAGUAAUAAUCAUUUAUUUCAUGCUUUCUCUGGGCCAGAUACUUGGGAAUGGCUUGUGAUCUGUCAUGAGAUUGUAGUCAGAUGUGAGUUAGGAAUGCAGUUAUCUGAAGGUUUGCUGGGAUUAGAGUUUCCACUUUAGAUUGUUCACUCAUGUGGCUGCCAAAUUGGUGUUGGCUCUUGGCAAACAGACUCACUUUCUCUUUACAUGGAUCUCUUCGUAUUUCUUGGGUUUCCUCACAAGAUGGUGGCUUGAACUCAGAGGUAGGUAUUGAGAAGAAGACAGGGAGAGAAGAAGAAAGAGGGAAUUGAAGAGGAGGAGGGAUUAAAGGAGUGAGAGAAAGAGAGAGGGAGGGAGCUUGUGCAAGCAAAAAGCUGCUUUUUAUGACUAACUUCGGAAGCCACACAAUAUCGCUUCUGCCAUGUUCUGUUUGUUGGAAGUGAGUCACCGUGAUUGGCCCAUAUCCAAUGAGAGGAGAAUUAGAUUCUCCAUUGGGAGGGAAAAU